GUGUCAUCUUUUAUUUGUUGGAAGGAAGUAGUAAUGUAAAUAGGUGAUAAUAAAGGUAUGCAUAAAACCUAUGAUAUUCUGUGGAUGCUUUUUUAUUUUGUCUUAUAAAUGUUGCCAAGUCCUUAUAUUUUAUUGUAAAUUGCCUUCGCAAAGCUUGACAAUAAUGGAAUCAGCAUCCAUAUAUUUUGGAAUCUUAAAAAACAGUUUUAAUACCUUUACGGAGACCACUAUGAAUACAGCUCCAUUUGUAUUUAAAAUUUAUUCAUUUAUAUAUUUAAAUAAAUGAAUGUAUCCUUUUGAAGAUUUUUUAUUCAUUACAACAAAUGCAAACGUGAAUACCUUAAAAAUAGGGUUUUAUUAUCAUUAAUACGUAACAAUUCAUUUUAAGAAAAAGCUUAUAAUCAAAAGCGGAAGAUGUUCUGUAAUGAGGAAGGAUUGAAAAGCGCCGCAGGAGAAAAUGUUUUGUAACAGAAAUCGCCGCGAUAAUAAAUAAAUUCGCGAUCUGCACUUUUUAUUAUAACAAAUACAGAUUUUUAAAAUAUAAUUGUUCUUCUAAUAGAAUAGAUUAAUUUGCUAUUCCUGCGGCGACCACUGAUAAUUUCGAAUUCCAUAAUUUUCGAUCUUGCUUCUUUUAAUGCACUCAAAAUAAUAAUUGAAGUCAAAUAUUGAUGAUACUAAGAUGUUUUAAGACUAUUUGAAGACCGACCUAACGGUUUAAACUGUAAACUAAAAUUUAAAAACUCUAAAAUACUUUUAAAAUUUAAUUUUAUUAAAAUGAAAUAAAGCCCAAAAAGAUUUUUUUAUGAAAUAAAUCCCAAUUUCUCUGUUUUUAAUUUGGGACUUAUUUCAUAAUGAAAUAACUGCCAAUUUUGAAAUGAAAUAAAGCCAAAAAAAUAAAUAACGCCCAAUUUUGAUUUUUAUAUUUUAUUGUUAUUUACUUUAUUUUCCUAAUUGGGUGUUAUUUCAUUGGGAGUUAUUUCAUGUCGCCAUAUUGACAAAAAUUGUCGUUCAGAAUGUUUGACCUAAAGGCAAUUACUUAUUAAAAAGAGAAACAAACCCUGCCACUACUAACUCAAAACGUGGACCCAUCGCAUUAAUAUUUAACCAAAAAUCUGAUAUCAUCAAUGGAAACAAGUGAAGUUCUGAACCCAAAUUUUUGAAUAAAAUAAUAUAAUCUAAAAAUUAAACAAAAUAAGUUAUGUUAUUUUACUUAUUUUUAAAAUUUGUAAAUAAAAUUGUAAAUAAUGAAUAAAAACAUAAAAGAUCUAGAUCUGGAUUAGGUCCGGGAAUCUUUUACAACUGAUUAUAUUUACUAUUUUUUUUCUGAGUGAGAUAUAUAAAUCUAGAUCUGGAUUAGGUCCGGGAACCUAUAUUAUCGUUGUUCAGUUGAAGGGUUCUAUUUAACUACUUAAAGUGUUGGAGAGAGACUUAAACCGGAUUGCUUUGAAAGGAAGACAUAAUGGUAGUACCACAGAGUUUUCCGAACGAUCCUGAACAUAUUGGUGGAAAAAGUAUAUGCUCGAAAAUUGUCAGAGGAUGAAGUACAGAAAUCAGAUGGCGUAACUUGGUUCCUUCCCAUAUUUAUUGUUAUAAACCAAAACAAGCCAGGAGAAGUUCGAUUGGAUGCGGCAGCAAAAAUAAAAGGAAUUUCCUUAAAAUCCAUGCAAUUGAAAGGAAAUGACUAGGAAAAACGUGUUAGGUUAACGCUACCGAUAAGAACAUUGAUGUUUAUUUUUGACCACUUUGGAUUCCUGUCGGCAUAUGUAGUUUAUCUAAAAGUAUUACUUCAAGAGGAAAUGUCAAAAUUCCUCGAUGGUGUUCAACCCAGCCUGAUUGAUGCUAGCGAAUUAACUUAUACUGUCUAGCGGGAAUUCAAAAAUUUCCAAUGUUUCAGAAGAACUCAGAAUUAAUCCUGUUACGGUCCAUCAAGAAAAAAUUGAUUCUACCUUAGUCGGUUUUCAUAGAAUAUCUUAAUGGAGGAAAUUAUUUCGAACUGUGGUAAAAUUUUAUACAUUUAUACAUAAAUUGAAGAUAAAAUAGUACAGAGUAAUAAAUCAACCGUAAAUUUUCCCAGAACUUUCUAAGGAGCAUUUCAUGACAGAAAAAUUAAUUUAUCGCACUACACAGCACGAUUCUUAAGAAGAUGAAUUUGUUGUCUUAUCAAACAAGAGUGAAAAAUUAGAAUUCAAGUGCCUUAUUCAAAUGCUCCCCAUAUAUCAUAUAAUUUGGAAAUUCGAAUUGGUUUAGCUCCUGUUAUACAUGAAAAUGAAAAACACUCAAUAAUUUUGCCAAGCCUUUUCCACAGAGUUGUCGAUUAAAAAUUUUCAUGAAAAGUUUCACCAUAUCAAUCAUGCCAUUUGCCUCAAUGAAUUGCCCAAUAAUUUUGCCAAGCCUAUUGCACAGAGUUGUCGAUUCAACAUUUUCAUGAAAAGUUUCACCAUAACAAUCAUGACACUUGCAUCAAUGAAUUGCUACAGUACUUUAAUAAUCCAAUAUUAAGAGUUACAUUAAAAGAAAUACGUAAAAAUUGUCAGUUCUGUAAGAAUUUAAAUGCGUCGCCUGUGGUUCCUGAAAUGUCACAGCUACUUAAAGCUCGGCUAUCACCAUCAUUAUAUGUAAAAGUUGGCCGACACCAAAAGAAACGUUGGGGAAUACUUUUAACUUACCAUAAUUCAAGUUGAAGUGGCGUAUGAUAUGACAGCCGACAGUUGAAUUCAUAAUUCUAAAUUUCGUUGCUCGAAGAGAUUGAUGAGGAGGACGUGUGCAUGGUGUAAUCUGAACCGCGAAACACGGAGGAAACCGGACAAAAUCCAGAGGCACAUGAGGGAGACUAUAAACAGACAAACAAAAGACAGGACACGGAACAGGACGAACGCAAAAGUUUGGCGGGAUACAAACGCUCUCUCAGGUAUGUCUGAGGAUGACUCCUUUACUGCGUUCGAUGACGCCAAAUGGUAAAAGGGAGAAAGCUCUAGGCUUUCUCAAAAUCUGCGUCUGAGGUGGCGAACGCUGGCCCAACGUUAUUUUAAGAUUCUAACUGUAAUAGUUUCCAAGAUAAACUAAUGUUUGUAUUUUAUUUAUAUCCUAAAUAAUCAUAUUGAUACUAAAG
rnacentral:lncRNA from 1 species